CGGACGGGUGAGUAACGCGUGAGAAUCUGCCUUCAGGAUGGGGACAACAGUUGGAAACGACUGCUAAUACCCAAUAUGCCGAGAGGUGAAACUUUUUUGGCCUGAAGAGGGGCUCGCGUCCGAUUAGCUAGUUGGGGUGGUAAAAGCGCACCAAGGCAACGAUCGGUAGCUGGUCUGAGAGGAUGAGCAGCCACACUGGGACUGAGACACGGCCCAGACUCCUACGGGAGGCAGCAGUGGGGAAUUUUCCGCAAUGGGCGAAAGCCUGACGGAGCAAUACCGCGUGAGGGAGGAAGGCUUUUGGGUUGUAAACCUCUUUUCUCAAGGAAGAAGCACUGACGGUACUUGAGGAAUCAGCAUCGGCUAACUCCGUGCCAGCAGCCGCGGUAAUACGGAGGAUGCAAGCGUUAUCCGGAAUUAUUGGGCGUAAAGCGUCCGCAGGUGGCACAUCAAGUCUGCUGUUAAAGACCAGGGCUCAACCCUGGGAAGGCAGUGGAAACUGGUGAACUAGAGUACGGUAGGGGUAGAGGGAAUUCCCAGUGUAGCGGUGAAAUGCGUAGAGACUGGGAAGAACACCAGUGGCGAAGGCGCUCUACUGGACCUGUACUGACACUCAGGGACGAAAGCUAGGGGAGCGAAAGGGAUUAGAUACCCCUGUAGUC
rnacentral:rRNA from 1 species